GAAAUGCGAUAAGAAGUGUGAAUUGCAGAAUUCAGUGAAUCAUCGAAUCUUUGAACGCACAUUGCGCCCUUUGGUAUUCCUUAGGGCAUGCCUGUUCGAGCGUCAUCUAAACCUUCAAGCCCUGCUUGGUGUUGGGUGCCUGUCCCGCCUCCGCGCGCGGACUCACCUCAAAUCCAUUGGCGGCCCCCGCGUCGGCCACGAGCGCAGCAGAAACGCGAACUCGUGAGCCCGUCCGGGCGGCUCCCAGAAGCUACACCCACCCAGUUUGACCUCGGAUCAGGUAGGGAUACCCGCUGAACUUAAGC
rnacentral:misc_RNA from 1 species